UCGGCAGGGCGCGCGGUCGCUGCCUCGCUUUAAGCGGGGGAGAGGAAAGUCCGGGCACCAUAGGGCGCCGUAGCGGUUAACAACCGUCGGUCAUCGCGCAAGCGGUGAUUAGGAAUAGUGCAACAGAAAGCAAGUACGGUCCCGGCCUCGGCCGGGGCGCAGUAGUGAAAUCCGGCAAACUCUACGGGGUGCAAGGCCAAAUAGGCCCCAGGGGCUCGCAAGAGCCGUCCGUCGGCCCGGCGGAUUCGCAAGGCCUGGGGCGGGUAGGCUGCUCCGAUCCCGAGCGCGAGCUCGGGGCUAGAGAAAUGACCGCAUAGACCAGAACCCGGCUUAGGGCCCUGCCCUUCAC
rnacentral:RNase_P_RNA from 1 species